rnacentral:rRNA from 1 species
AUGGCGAAGCCGACCUCGACGGAGGAUCUGAGGGGAACGAAGGAAGGGCGGGUAGGGUUAGGGUUUGCAGAUGGGAAGGGAGAGGUAGAAGGGAUCAGCGGUGAUGUACCGGCGUCAAGUAACACUACCACGGGUAAAGGCGAUGAUGUGAGGAGAGAAGAGGAGGAGGUGGAUCCAGGCCGUGAGAUCGAAGAGGAUUGGGACAAUAUUGGCCAUGACCCAGAGCUGGAGGAUGCGUUCGAAGGGCUGAAGCUGUAUGGAGAAGAGGAGGAAGAUUUAGACCUCUCGGGUGAAGUAGAUGAUCUAAUCAAGGAGGUGAGAUGGUUAUGUCUGUUUAGGGUUCAUACUAUGCGGCCGUUUAGCCAUGCGGCGCUGCUAAACUCUUUGAGGAACGCAUGGUCGUGUGCACAAGGAGUCACCUUCAAUAUCAAAGGGCCUAAUUUGUUCCUAGCACAGUGCCAUUGCUUGGGGGAUUGGAAGAGGGUGAUGGAAGGAGGGCCAUGGCAAUUCAGGAGAGAUCCGGUUGUCAUCGUUGAGUAUGAUGGAUUCACAAACGUUGCUGAAUACGCCCUAGACAUGUAUCCAUUAUGGGCUAGAAUAAAAGGAUUGCCGGAUGGGUUAACGAGGAAGAAGGAAUUGGCGGAGAAGGUUGCGAAGAAGGUGGGCUUGCCACCCUUUACGGUGGCUGUCAACGAAGGAAGGAUCAACCCUUCGAGCUUUUUAAGAGUUAGGGUGUUUGUGGACGUUCAUAAACCCUUGGUGAGAUUUGUCCCGAUUACAUUGAAGGAGUACAAACGAUACCCGGUGAGUUAUGAGAAGCUACCGGAUUUUUGCUUCUUCUGUGGGCGCAUGGGGCAUGUGGUGGAAGAAUGUGGAGAUGGAGUGCAUGAUCCAACAGAGUGUGAGUGGGGAGACUGGCUACAUUGGAGUAAUGAACAACCUAUGGGGACUGCAGGGAAGGGACACAGGGGAGGUGGUGAAGCGGGGGUGCGGGGGGUAGAGGAAGAGGGGGAGCUGCAAGAGGGUUUGGAGGAGGAUCUGGAAGUAGGGGAGGCAUGGGUAACAGAGGGAGAGCCGCAAUGA